ensembl:lncRNA novel transcript
UACAUGGUACUGUUUCUCCCAUAGCCAGGAGUGUCCAGGAAUCAAGGGGUGGAAAUGGAAGUGGAAGUGGCAUGACUCACCAUCACUGCUAGUGAUCCAUGAGCAAAAUUUUUGCUUCCUGUUCCUGUGACAUUAUGUUCUGCUGGCCUAGAGAUCUUAGUUCCAGAGGGAGGAAUGCUGCCACCGGGAGACACAACAAUGAUCCCAUUAAACUGGAAGUUAAGAUGGCCACCUGGACACUUUGGGCUCCUCCUACCUUUAAGUCAACAAGCUAACAAGGGAGUUAUAGUGUUAGCUGGGGUGAUUUACUGGACUAUCAAGAUGAAAUCAGUCUACUACUCUACAACGGAGGUAAGGAAGAGUAUGCAUGGAACACAGGAGACCAUUAGGGCGUCUCUUAGUAUUACCAUGCCCUGUGAUUAAGGUCAAUGGAAAACUACAACAGCCCAAUCCAGGCAGGACUACAAAUGGCCCAGACCCAUCAGGAAUGAAGGUUUGGGUCACUCCACCAGGAAAAAAACCCCACAACCUGCUGAGGUGCUUGCCGAAGGCAAAGGGAAUACAGAAUUGGUAGCAGAAGAAGGUAGUCAUCAAUACCAGCUACAACCACGUGACCAGCUGCAGAAACGAGGACGAUGGAAAAAAGAAGCUUGGAGAAGGGGAAAUGACUUUACCCAGCUAAGAAUAUGGCAAAGCUGAGCCAACUAGUCAAGUUUUCUGACCCCAAAUCCUGUAUUUCCCAUGACUCAUCUUGUGGAAGGCUGAGGCCUCAGUUUCUCUGUCAGCACCAGAUGGGGACUUCUUCAGCCUGACACUCCAUAACUCAAGGUUGCACCCACAUCUCCUACCUUUGGGGGAAGGAGAGAGGGAUUAUGGGACAGUGGCAUCAAUCUCCUUCCCAGGAUGGAUCCUCUGAGCUCUAUAUUUCUUGCCUAUAGUGACCAGGGAAUUUUCCUCUAUUGAUUGCUUUCUGUAAUCGAGCUUAACAAAUAGAACUUCCCUCAAAUGAUUCUUCCAACUAAACUGAUAGAAA